GACUUCAACUUGUACACAUUCAUUUAUUUGACAAAUAUUUUUGACAUGUAUAUCAUGUAUAAGCAACUGUUCUAGGGACUAAAUAUGCAAUACCACAGUGAACAAUAUUAACACCACUUUCACCAACAGAUAAUUCAGUCUAGUGAAGAAGAUGGUAAGCAAAUAAACAAAUGUGAGGAGGAGAAAUGGCAAAAAAAAAUAGAAGAAGAAAUCAGCAGCAAAAUACAUCUUCUCCAGUAUCUGGAAUCAAUACCCCUGGAAAGGAAUAACUUGCUGAUGAGAAAAAAAGAAGCAUAUCUCCAGGAAUUAAAGGGACCUGACAGGAAAACUGUAAAUUACUGUGAAGCUAGAGAAACAGCAUAGUUCUGAGAAAAGAAGGAAGCAGUCUGGAAAGCUCACCCCAGGAGAGGAGGAACUGUCUCUGUAGACACGAGGUGACACAACCACAAAUGACAGUAACAGAGAGGGUGCAAACUAGACCUCUCCCUUUGAGAAGAUUAAGCUCAGACCAGGAAGGACAUGAUGGCCCCAUCCUCCAUGGAUACUAUGGGCAACAAAAUGAGAAUCAAGACAGUUCUAGAAGAGGUCCAAGUAUGAGAUAUUUUUUCUUCAAGAAAGUAUCGAAUUUUUAUGUAAUAGCAAUAAAAUUCAAGCAG
rnacentral:lncRNA from 1 species